rnacentral:tRNA from 1 species
GCAGAGGUUCCAGAGUGGUCAAAUGGGCAGCGCUCAAGACGCUGUAGCUUAGUGCUUUCGGAAGUUCGAAUCUUCCCCUCUGCA